GGGAGAGAAGAGGACGCAUUCUUACAUUUAGACCAUGCCAAACACACGCACACACACACACACACACUGUAGGGUGGGAUGCAGGCAGAAAUCAGCACAUUCUACCUUGUCUUGUUGACUUUAGCUCACGCGUGCCUUCGUUAUAUAAUGCCGUGGAUGACAAGGCCUUGGGUCAUUGAGGGUUUGUCUGUGGAACAAGUGAAAAUAUGAAAAAGGAAGGGAAUGCAUAGCAUGGAGAACUCUGCCAGAGCUUAGCUUGCACCCACCAGCCCAUGUCCCUUAAUGAGGACUUCACUGCUGUCUACAGUUGCACGAUUGCAGCGGGUCAGUCAAGAAAGGCCAACGAUCUCCGGGCGGAUGUUUGGAUGAGGGAAUGAUGGAGGUAAUCUACAGCAGGAUGUAGGAAGAGGAAGUCUACUUUCUAAGGUUUGGGUUACAGUCCAUACAGGUAAGAUCUCCAGUCAGCCAAAUGCAUGAGUCUGGCUGUCCACCCUAUAUAGAAGCAAGCUCUGUUUCCAGAUUUCGACCCUUUCAGACCGGCGAUGCGCAUGGAGGUGUGAUUGAUGUGGCGUUUUCCCCGUUCUGUGAGAAAUCAAUCAGAUGCCUGAGCGAGAAAGCCAGCUCUCACCCAUUGUGAGAUAAUGUUGCCAUCUAGUGUUCAUCCCUAACUGUCUGAAGCGCUGUGUAUUUUUAAUAGCUGCCAUUUUUCACUUCCACUCAAAGCCCUUCCACACAGCCAUCCAGCAUUUCUAGGGUCAUGGAGAGACCCACUAAGCCCGUAAAAACAGGUUUAUCUCCUAUAUAACUUUUAGGACUUAUACGCGUCAGUGAAGAUCCUAUAAAAUCUCAACGAAUGAUGCGUCCUACGCGUGCACCUUGCGUUGUCACUUGAGUAUAAUCUGGGUAAAUAAAUAAAUUGCUCCCUCAGCGACAUACAUGCAUUAACCUAUGACUCGUUGGUGUGUCAGGUCGGUGCAUGCGUUAGCAUAUAAGAGACAACAGAGUGUGUGUGUGUGUGUGUGUGUGUGUGUGUGUGAGCCUAGGGUCGAGUACACAGAAGUGGAGAGUAGUAGAGGGAUUUCGUAUUGGCUGAUAAAAGCUGAUUUGGCUCCGAGGCUCCUCCUGUCAUUGUAGAGCCCGUGGUACAAUAAUCCCCUCUGCUCCCUGUUAUGUAACCGAGUGGAGAACACAUAUCAAUAAUCCCCGCCUGUUGGUGUGCAUGCAGGGCAGGGGGAGGACGGGAGGCCCGGCGAGAGGACAGGCAGUCCUCCAGCCGCCUCUAGCAGGAGAGACGCCGUCUUCUGUGGGGAGGAGGAGGGCAGCAUUCCUUGGUCUGUGAUGCGAGGCCACAGGUCCAGUGAGGUGGAGGUCAUGCUGAGGCAGUCUCAGGCUGAGCUGACAUGGAUCAGGAGGCAGUUGUCCGUCAUCGGUGCCAGGAACACACAGCAUCUGCAGGC